AACGAACGCUGGCGGCAUGCCUAACACAUGCAAGUCGAACGAGACCUUCGGGUCUAGUGGCGCACGGGUGCGUAACGCGUGGGAAUCUGCCCUUGGGUUCGGAAUAACAGUUGGAAACGACUGCUAAUACCGGAUGAUGACGUAAGUCCAAAGAUUUAUCGCCCAGGGAUGAGCCCGCGUAGGAUUAGCUAGUUGGUGGGGUAAAGGCCUACCAAGGCGACGAUCCUUAGCUGGUCUGAGAGGAUGAUCAGCCACACUGGGACUGAGACACGGCCCAGACUCCUACGGGAGGCAGCAGUGGGGAAUAGUGGACGAUGGGCGAAAGCCUGAUCAAGCAAUGCCGCGUGAGUGAUGAAGGCCUUAGGGUUGUAAAGCUCUUUUACCCGGGAUGAUAAUGACAGUACCGGGAGAAUAAGCCCCGGCUAACUCCGUG
rnacentral:rRNA from 1 species